rnacentral:rRNA from 1 species
UGGGGAAUCUUCCGCAAUGGACGAAAGUCUGACGGAGCAACGCCGCGUGAGUGAUGACGGCCUUCGGGUUGUAAAGCUCUGUUAAUCGGGACGAAAGGCCUUCUUGCGAAUAGUUAGAAGGAUUGACGGUACCGGAAUAGAAAGCCACGGCUAACUACGUGCCAGCAGCCGCGGUAAUACGUAGGUGGCAAGCGUUGUCCGGAAUUAUUGGGCGUAAAGCGCGCGCAGGCGGAUUGGUCAGUCUGUCUUAAAAGUUCGGGGCUUAACCCCGUGAUGGGAUGGAAACUGCCAAUCUAGAGUAUCGGAGAGGAAAGUGGAAUUCCUAGUGUAGCGGUGAAAUGCGUAGAUAUUAGGAAGAACACCAGUGGCGAAGGCGACUUUCUGGACGAAAACUGACGCUGAGGCGCGAAAGCCAGGGGAGCAAACGGGAUUAGAUACCCCGGUAGUCCUGGCCGUAAACGAUGGGUACUAGGUGUAGGAGGUAUCGACCCCUUCUGUGCCGGAGUUAACGCAAUAAGUACCCCGCCUGGGGAGUACGACCGCAAGGUUG